UUCCGGUUGAUCCUGCCGGACCUGACUGCUAUCGGAUUGAUACUAAGCCAUGCGAGUCAUUGUAGCAAUACAAGGCAUACGGCUCAGUAACGCGUAGUCAACCUAACCUAUGGACGGGAAUAACCUCGGGAAACUGAGAAUAAUGCCCGAUAGAACAUUAUGCCUGGAAUGGUUUAUGUUCCAAAUGAUUUAUCGCCGUAGGAUGGGACUGCGGCCUAUCAGUUUGUUGGUGAGGUAAUGGCCCACCAAGACUAUUACAGGUACGGGCUCUGAGAGGAGUAGCCCGGAGAUGGGUACUGAGACACGGACCCAGGCCCUAUGGGGCGCAGCAGGCGAGAAAACUUUGCAAUGUGCGAAAGCACGACAAGGUUAAUCCGAGUGGUUUCUGCUAAAGAAACCUUUUGUCAGUCCUAGAAACACUGAUGAAUAAGGGGUGGGCAAGUUCUGGUGUCAGCCGCCGCGGUAAAACCAGCACCUCAAGUGGUCAGGAUGAUUAUUGGGCCUAAAGCAUCCGUAGCCGGCUCUGUAAGUUUUCGGUUAAAUCUGUACGCUCAACGUACAGGCUGCCGGGAAUACUGCAAAGCUAGGGAGUGGGAGAGGUAGACGGUACUCGGUAGGAAGGGGUAAAAUCCUUUGAUCUAUUGAUGACCACCUGUGGCGAAGGCGGUCUACCAGAACACGUCCGACGGUGAGCGGAUGAAAGCUGGGGGGAGCAAACCGGAUUAGAUACCC
rnacentral:rRNA from 2 species